rnacentral:rRNA from 1 species
GACGAACGCUGGCGGCGUGCUUAACACAUGCAAGUCGAACGGUAAGGCUCCAGCUUGCUGGGGUACACGAGUGGCGAACGGGUGAGUAACACGUGGGUGACCUGCCCUGCACUUCGGGAUAAGCCUGGGAAACUGGGUCUAAUACCGGAUAGGACUGCACCGUGAGGGUGUGGUGGAAAGUUUUUUCGGUGUGGGAUGGGCCCGCGGCCUAUCAGCUUGUUGGUGGGGUAAUGGCCUACCAAGGCGGCGACGGGUAGCCGGCCUGAGGGGGUGGACGGCCACAUUGGGACUGAGACACGGCCCAGACUCCUACGGGAGGCAGCAGUGGGGAAUAUUGCACAAUGGGCGGAAGCCUGAUGCAGCGACGCCGCGUGGGGGAUGACGGCCUUCGGGUUGUAAACUCCUUUCACCAUCGACGAAGGGUUUCUGACGGUAGAUGGAGAAGAAGCACCGGCUAACUACGUG